CCUACGGGUGGCAGCAGUGAGGAAUAUUGGUCAAUGGACGCAAGUCUGAACCAGCCAUGCCGCGUGCAGGAUGACGGCUCUAUGAGUUGUAAACUGCUUUUGUACGAGGGUAAAUGCAGAUAAGCGUAUCAGUCUGAAAGUAUCGUACGAAUAAGGAUCGGCUAACUCCGUGCCAGCAGCCGCGGUAAUACGGAGGAUGCGAGCGUUAUCCGGAUUGAUUGGGGUUGAAGGGUGCGCGGGCGGAUUUUUAUGUCAGCGGUAAAAUCGUGGGGCUAAACCCCAUACAGCCGUUGAAACUGGGGAUCUAGAGUAUGCGAGAGGUAUGCGGAAUGCGUGGUGUAGCGGUAAAAUGCAUAGAUAUCACGCAGAACCCCGAUUGCGAAGGCGGCAUACCGGUGCACAACUGACGCUCAGGCGCGAAAGCGUGGGUAUCGAACAGGAUUAGAUACCCGAGUAGUC
rnacentral:rRNA from 1 species